GACGAACGCUGGCGGCGUGCUUAACACAUGCAAGUCGAACGGAAAGGCCUCUUUCGGGGGGUACUCGAGUGGCGAACGGGUGAGUAACACGUGAGUAACCUGCCCUUGACUUUGGGAUAACUUCAGGAAACUGGGGCUAAUACCGGAUAGGAGCUCCUGCUGCAUGGUGGGGGUUGGAAAGUUUCGGCGGUUGGGGAUGGACUCGCGGCUUAUCAGCUUGUUGGUGGGGUAGUGGCUUACCAAGGCUUUGACGGGUAGCCGGCCUGAGAGGGUGACCGGCCACAUUGGGACUGAGACACGGCCCAGACUCCUACGGGAGGCAGCAGUGGGGAAUAUUGCACAAUGGGUGGAAGCCUGAUGCAGCAACGCCGUGUGCGGGAUGACGGCCUUCGGGUUGUAAACCGCUUUCGCUCAUGACGAAGCUUUGUGUGACGGUAGUGGGUAAAGAAGCACCGGCUAACUACGUG
rnacentral:rRNA from 1 species